AUGUGGUACAUCUGAAAGACCCCCGGAGCAGGGAGACCCUCACUCAAGUCUCGGGAUGAUGCGACCCCCCAAGAACUCACGUGAGAUC
rnacentral:pre_miRNA from 14 species